rnacentral:rRNA from 2 species
UACGUAGGGUCCAAGCGUUAAUCGGAAUUACUGGGCGUAAAGCGUGUGCAGGCGGUUUCGAAAGUCCGAUGUGAAAUCCCCGAGCUUAACUUGGGAACUGCGUUGGAAACUACGAGGCUAGAGUGCGGCAGAGGGGGGUGGAAUUCCAGGUGUAGCAGUGAAAUGCGUAGAGAUCUGGAGGAACACCGAUGGCGAAGGCAGCCCCCUGGGUUAGCACUGACGCUGAGACACGAAAGCGUGGGGAGCAAACAGG